rnacentral:rRNA from 1 species
UGGGGAAUCUUGGACAAUGGGGCAACCCUGAUCCAGCCAUGCCGCGUGAGUGAUGAAGGCCUUAGGGUCGUAAAGCUCUUUCGCCUGUGAAGAUAAUGACGGUAGCAGGUAAAGAAACCCCGGCUAACUCCGUGCCAGCAGCCGCGGUAAUACGGAGGGGGUUAGCGUUGUUCGGAAUUACUGGGCGUAAAGCGCACGUAGGCGGACCAGAAAGUUGGGGGUGAAAUCCCGGGGGCUCAACCCCGGAACUGCCUCCCAAAACUAUUGGUCUAGAGUUCGAGAGAGGUGAGUGGAAUUCCAAGUGUAGAGGUGAAAUUCGUAGAUAUUUGGAGGAACACCAGUGGCGAAGGCGGCUCACUGGCUCGAUACUGACGCUGAGGUGCGAAAGUGUGGGGAGCAAAACAGGAUUAGAUACCCCUGGUAGUCCACACCGUAAAACGAUGAAUGCCAGUCGUCGGGUAGCAUGCUAUUCGGUGACACACCUAACGGAUUAAGCAUUCCGCCUGGGGAGUAC